rnacentral:rRNA from 1 species
GAUGAACGCUGGCGGCGUGCCUAAUACAUGCAAGUCGAGCGAACGGACGAGAAGCUUGCCUCUCUGAUGUUAGCGGCGGACGGGUGAGCAACACGUGGAUAACCUACCUAUAAGACUGGGAUAACUUCGGGAAACCGGAGCUCAUACCGGAUAAUAUUUUGAACCGCAUGGUUCAAAAGUGAAAGACGGUCUUGCUGUCACUUAUAGAUGGAUCCGCGCUGCAUUAGCUAGUUGGUAAGGUAACGGCUUACCAAGGCAACGAUGCAUAGCCGACCUGAUAGGGUGAUCGGCCACACUGGAACUGAGACACGGUCCAGACUCCUACGGGAGGCAGCAGUAGGGAAUCUUCCGCAAUGGGCGAAAGCCUGACGGAGCAACGCCGCGUGAGUGAUGAAGGUCUUCGGAUCGUAAAACUCUGUUAUUAGGGAAGAACAUAUGUGUAAGUAACUGUGCACAUCUUGACGGUACCUAAUCAGAAAGCCACGGCUAACUACGUG